UACGUAGGGUGCGAGCGUUGUCCGGAAUUAUUGGGCGUAAAGAGCUCGUAGGCGGUGUGUCGCGUCGGCCGUGAAAACCUGGGGCUCAACUCUGGGCGUGCGGUCGAUACGGGGCAUCACUGGAGUUCGGCAGGGGAGACUGGAAUUCCUGGUGUAGCGGUGAAAUGCGCAGAUAUCAGGAGGAACACCGGUGGCGAAGGCGGUUCUCUGGGCAUGAACCUGA
rnacentral:rRNA from 1 species